rnacentral:rRNA from 1 species
UGACUUCGGUUGCCGGGAUCAAAGCUCGCAAGAGCGCUUGAGGAGGGGCCCGCGCCCGAUUAGCUAGUUGGUGAGGUAACGGCUCACCAAGGCGAAGAUCGGUAGCCGGUCUGAGAGGAUGGCCGGCCACACUGGGACUGAGACACGGCCCAGACUCCUACGGGAGGCAGCAGUGGGGAAUCUUGCGCAAUGGGCGAAAGCCUGACGCAGCGACGCCGCGUGGAGGAUGAAGCCCUUCGGGGUGUAAACUCCUUUCGACCCGGACGAAACGCCCGAGCAAUCGGGAACUGACGGUACGGGUAGAAGAAGCCCCGGCUAACUACGUGCCAGCAGCCGCGGUAAAACGUAGGGGGCCAGCGUUGCUCGGAAUUACUGGGCGUAAAGGGUCCGUAGGCGGUGCAGCAAGUCCGGAGUGAAAUCCUGGGGCUCAACCCCAGGGCUGCUCCGGAAACUGCUGCGCUCGAGUGCGGGAGAGGCGAGUGGAAUUCCCGGUGUAGUCGGUGAAAUGCGUAGAGAUCGGGAGGAACACCGGAGGCGAAGGCGGCUCGCUGGACCG